rfam:Cavia porcellus supercont2_7 genomic scaffold, whole genome shotgun sequence.
GGGGAUUUAGCUCAGCGGCAUAAGCGCCUGCCUUGCAAGCAGGCAGUCAUAAGUUUGAUCCCUA